UACGUAGGGCGCAAGCGUUGUCCGGAAUUAUUGGGCGUAAAGAGCUCGUAGGCGGCUUGUCACGUCGGGUGUGAAAGCCCGGGGCUUAACCCCCGGGUCUGCAUUCGAUACGGGCAGGCUAGAGUGUGGUAGGGGAGAUCGGAAUUCCUGGUGUAGCGGUGAAAUGCGCAGAUAUCAGGAGGAACACCGAUGGCGAAGGCAGAUCUCUGGGCCGUAACUGACGCUGAGGAGCGAAAGCGUGGGGAGCAAACAGG
rnacentral:rRNA from 1 species